rnacentral:rRNA from 1 species
GAUGAACGCUAGCUACAGGCUUAACACAUGCAAGUCGAGGGGUAACAAGCGAAAAGCUUGCUUUUCUUGUUGACGACCGGCGCACGGGUGAGUAACGCGUAUCCAACCUGCCUAUAACUAGGGAAUAACCUUGCGAAAGUAAGACUAAUACCCUAUGAUUUCCUUUGAUGACAUCAGAUUAGGAAUAAAGAUUUAUCGGUUAUAGAUGGGGAUGCGACUGAUUAGCUUGUUGGCGGGGUAACGGCCAACCAAGGCAACGAUCAGUAGGGGUUCUGAGAGGAAGGUCCCCCACAUUGGAACUGAGACACGGUCCAAACUCCUACGGGAGGCAGCAGUGAGGAAUAUUGGUCAAUGGGCGGAAGCCUGAACCAGCCAAGUAGCGUGCAGGAUGACGGCCCUAUGGGUUGUAAACUGCUUUUAUACAGGAAUAAAGUUAGCCACGUGUGGUUAUUUGUAGGUACUGUAUGAAUAAGGACCGGCUAAUUCCGUGCCAGCCGCCGCAGUAA